rnacentral:lncRNA from 13 species
UCACUUCAGCAGUGAGGGCUCAGCCCCUUCCCCUUGGAAAAAGACUUCAAGUCCUGCUCCCCGCACCCCAGCUCAGCCUGGUGUGAAUGAAAUUCAAAUCGAGCUCUGACAGCCCCAUGAAUUGUCUGUUUUCCAGCCUGCCUCCCGCUCUUUCAUCUUCACGGCAGAAACGGUGAAAUAAUCCGUUCCCAUCUCUACAAAGGCCCCACCACACCCCAGUUGCCUGUGUCUCAAGAGAAACGUGGUGUGGGGACCAUUUGGAGCCUCUUUACAAACAACGUCGCCACAUCCUGAGACUGCCUGGGAAUUGCCGUCCAACAAGGACACCGGGAUCUUCCCAGGGGCUUUUAAUGGAGACAACAGAGGACCCAGCAGCUCCCUCCCUGCUUGGAGCAGCAGAUUUUUCACAUUCCUCCUUGACUUGGCACAGCCAGGACACUGUCCCUUAAAAAAAUUAAUAAAUCUGGUAUUUGAAAAAAAAAAAUCACAGGCUUCCUCUCCUGAACUCAUUUCCUGUGGUGUUUCCCUGGCCUAAUCGAAACCUGACAGGCUGCCGUGUGGAGGAAGCCAGACGCCCCUGCAUCAGGGCAGAGUUCAGCGUGGAGAAUGGUGUUUUUGUUCAGGGAAGCGGGAAGAGGUGACGGAGAGGGGGCUUCCCCCACUGAAAUCUAAAAGCAAAGAGAAGGGCCAGGAGGCAAACGUCCUAGACGUUGGACUCCACCCCUGAGGUGGUGGAUAAUACCAG